GAGAGCCGUAUGCGGGAAAACCGCACGUACGGUUCGACGAGGGGGCGCUGAUGUCCGGAAUGCAUAUCAGUAGACACGUAGUAGUCGCGUGCGACGAGGCGUUCGGUAAAAGUCCUGAGUGACGAAGGAAUUAGCGCUCUACUCUAC
rnacentral:ncRNA from 1 species